rnacentral:rRNA from 1 species
UUUUAAGGCAUGAUGGCCUGUACCCGAAACCGACACAGGUGGGGUGGUAGAGAAUACCGAGGGGCGCGAGAUAACUCUCUCUAAGGAACUCGGCAAAAUGGCCCCGUAACUUCGGGAGAAGGGGUGCCACCGCAAGGUGGUCGCAGUGAAGAGGCCCAGGCGACUGUUUACCAAAAACACAGGUCUCCGCUAAGUCGCAAGACGAUGUAUGGGGGCUGACGCCUGCCCAGUGCCGGAAGGUUAAGGAAGCUGGUCAGCGUAAGCGAAGCUAGCGACUGAAGCCCCGGUGAACGGCGGCCGUAACAAUAACGGUCCUAAGGUAGCGAAAUUCCUUGUCGGGUAAGUUCCGACCCGCACGAAAGGCGUAACGAUCUGGGCGCUGUCUCGGAGAGAGGCUCGGCGAAAUAGAAUUGUCUGUGAAGAUGCGGACUACGUGCACCCGGACAGAAAGACCCUAUGAAGCUUUACUGUAGCUUGGUAUUGUGCUCGGGCUCGGAAUGCGCAGGAUAGGUGGGAGGCUAUGAACCAUUGCUUGUGGGUGAUGGUGAGCCACUGGUGAGAUACCACUCUUUCCGAGCUAGAGUUCUAACAGCCACCCGUUAUCCGGGGGCUGGACAGUAUCAGGUGGGCAGUUUGACUGGGGCGGUCGCCUCCUAAAAGGUAACGGAGGCGCGCAAAGGUUUGCUCAGGCUGGUUGGAAAUCAGCCGACGAGUGUAAAAGCAGAAGCAAGCUUGACUGUGAGACCUACAAGUCGAACAGGGAGGAAACUCGGCUUUAGUGAUCCGACGGUUCUGCGUGGAAGGGCCGUCGCUCAACGGAUAAAAGUUACUCUAAGGAUAACAGGCUGAUCUCCCCCAAGAGUUCACAUCGACGGGGAGGUUUGGCACCUCGAUGUCGGCUCAUCGCAACCUGGGGCUGAAGUCGGUCCCAAGGGUUGGGCUGUUCGCCCAUUAAAGCGGUACGCGAGCUGGGUUCAGAACGUCGUGAGACAGUUCGGUCCAUAUCCGGUGCAUGCGCAGGAAUAUUGAGAGGAUUUCUCCCUAGUACGAGAGGACCGGGAGGAACGCACCUCUGGUGUACCAGUUAUCGUGCCAACGGUAAACGCUGGGUAGCCAUGUGCGGAGAGGAUAACCGCUGAAAGCAUCUAAGUGGGAAGCCCACCUCAAGAUGAGUAUUCCCAUGGGGUAACCCAGUAAGGUCACGGGAUGAACACCCGUUGAUAGGCUCUACGUGGAAGCGCAGUAAUGUGUGAAGCGGAGGAGUACUAAUAGACCGAGGGCUUGACC